AGUAAUCGCGGAUCAGCAUGCCGCGGUGAAUACGUUCCCGGGCCUUGUACACACCGCCCGUCACACCAUGAGAGCUGGGAACACCCGAAGCCCGUAGCCUAACCUGCAAAGGAGGGCGCGGUCGAAGGUGGGCUUAGUAAUUGGGGUGAAGUCGUAACAAGGUACC
rnacentral:rRNA from 1 species